rnacentral:rRNA from 1 species
GUAAUGGCGAACGAACAGGGAUCAGCUUGGGUUGGAAACCGGGGCUUCUGCCUUGGAUUGUGGCCUUUAGACAUACUACCAACGGCGGCGCGAGCGUAAGCCUCUUGGAACAGAGCGUCUACGUGGGUGAGAAUCCUGUGUUUCGCUUGAUGCCCGCCGUGCACGGUACUUGCUCUCAGAGUCACGCUCCUCGGAAUUGGAGCGUAAAUUGGGUGGUAAAUUUCAUCUAAAGCUAAAUACAGGCUCGAGACCGAUAGCAAACAAGUACCAUGAGGGAAAGAUGAAAAGGACUUUGAAAAGAGAGUUAAAAGUGCUUGAAAUCGCUGAACUGGAAGCGAAUGGAACUAGUGCUCUGGUUGAGAUUGCUGCAAGUGGCUGCGACAUCUGGGCUCUGGAACGCAAGUCCUUUGUCUGGUUUGAAGUAGUUGCUUGUAAUGUGUCUCAGCUUGAACAUCAACGUCUAUGCAUACGUGAGGAUGGCCCUUAGCUCAUGCUGUAUUGCUGUGGCGAUGCUCUUGUGCUUCUGGGGAUUCAGGUGUGUGUGGAUUGUUGAUCAAUUAGUUCCAUUCG